rnacentral:rRNA from 1 species
UACGUAGGGUGCGAGCGUUAAUCGGAUUUACUGGGCGUAAAGCGUGCGUAGGCGGUCCCCCCAAGUCCGCUGUGAAAGCCCCGGGCUUAACCUGGGAAUGGCAGUGGAAACUAUGGGACUUGAAUCUGGCAGAGGGGGGUGGAAUGCCACGUGUAGCAGUGAAAUGCGUAGAGAUGUGGCGGAACACCGAUGGCGAAGGCAGCCCCCUGGGCUGAGAUUGACGCUCAGGCACGAAAGCGUGGGGAGCAAACAGG